rnacentral:lncRNA from 1 species
GCAAAAUACUCUCUGAUUAUGCUUGAUUUGGCCCGGAUCCAUCCUCAACCAUCUGAUCGCGAUCGGUUGCAAUCCGGACUGUCGAAUCGUAUAAUCCAGCCUUGAACCGUGCGUGGAUUGUGAUUUCGAUCCAUACGACUUCCAUGAGCCACCAGCGCCCCGCGAUCUACAGUGGAUCGUGCGAGCGUUGGGCCUGAGCGCCCCGUGCACACUAGGCCGGCCCAUGUGUGCGC